AGUGAACGCUGGCGGUAGGCCUAACACAUGCAAGUCGAACGGCAGCACAGUAAGAGCUUGCUCUUACGGGUGGCGAGUGGCGGACGGGUGAGGAAUACAUCGGAAUCUACUUUUUCGUGGGGGAUAACGUAGGGAAACUUACGCUAAUACCGCAUACGACCUACGGGUGAAAGCAGGGGAUCUUCGGACCUUGCGCGAUUGAAUGAGCCGAUGUCGGAUUAGCUAGUUGGCGGGGUAAAGGCCCACCAAGGCGACGAUCCGUAGCUGGUCUGAGAGGAUGAUCAGCGACACUGGAACUGAGACACGGUCCAGACUCCUACGGGAGGCAGCAGUGGGGAAGAUUGGACAAAGGGCGCAAGCCUGAUCCAGCCAUACCGCGUGGGUGAAGAAGGCCUUCGGGUUGUAGAGCCCUUUUGUUGGGAAAGAAAAGCAGCAGGUUAAUACCCCGCUGUUCUGACGGUACCCAAAGAAUAAGCACCGGCUAACUUCGUG
rnacentral:rRNA from 1 species